UACGUAGGGGGCAAGCGUUGUCCGGAAUCAUUGGGCGUAAAGAGCGUGUAGGCGGCCCGAUAAGUCCGCUGUGAAAGUCCAGGGCUCAACCCUGGAAUGCCGGUGGAUACUGUCGGGCUCGAAUCCGGAAGAGGUGAGUGGAAUUCCUGGUGUAGCGGUGAAAUGCGCAGAUAUCAGGAAGAACACCCGUGGCGAAGGCGGCUCUCUGGAACGCAACUGACGCUGAGACGCGAAAGCGUGGGGAGCAAACAGG
rnacentral:rRNA from 1 species